rnacentral:rRNA from 1 species
GAUGAACGCUGGCGGCGUGCCUAACACAUGCCAGUCGAACGGAGAUUACGGACGGAAGUUUUCGGAUGGAAGCCUGUAAUUCUUAGUGGCGGACGGGUGAGUAACGCGUGGGCAACCUGCCCUAUACAGGGGGAUAGCAGCUGGAAACGGCUGGUAAGACCGCAUAAGUCGGCGAGACCGCAUGGUUUUGCCGGGAAAUGAGCAAUCAGGUAUAGGAUGGGCCCGCGUCCGAUUAGCCAGUUGGCAGGGUAAAAGCCUACCAAAGCAACGAUCGGUAGCCGGACUGAGAGGUCGGACGGCCACAUUGGGACUGAGACACGGCCCAAACUCCUACGGGAGGCAGCAGUGGGGGAUAUUGCACAAUGGAGGAAACUCUGAUGCAGCGACGCCGCGUGAGUGAAGAAGUAUUUCGGUAUGUAAAGCUCUAUCAGCAGGGAAGAUGAUGACGGUACCUGACUAAGAAGCCCCGGCUAACUACGUG